UGGGGAAUCUUGCACAAUGGGGGAAACCCUGAUGCAGCGACGCCGCGUGAGCGAUGAAGCCCUUCGGGGUGUAAAGCUCUUUCGGCAGGAACGAUAAUGACGGUACCUGCAGAAGAAGCUGCGGCUAACUACGUGCCAGCAGCCGCGGUAAUACGUAGGCAGCAAGCGUUGUUCGGAAUUACUGGGCGUAAAGAGUGUGUAGGUGGUGUCGUAAGUUUGGUGUGAAAUCUCCCGGCUUAACUGGGAGGGU
rnacentral:rRNA from 1 species